CUCCCUGCUGAGCAGGGAUUCCCUACAUGGAGCUCCAUCCCAGGACCCCAGGAUCAUGACCCAAGUGGAAUGCAGAUGCCUGACCAACUGAAUGACCCAGGUAGGCUCCAUGACCAACAUGCGGCUUAAACUCACGCCCCUGAGAUCAAGGACUGCACGCUCUACCAUCUGAGCCAGCCAGGUGCCCCGUGCUAAUGCCUUAAAAAAAAAAAAAAAAAGUGUACAGCUUGAUGGAUAUAGAUAUCUAUCCCCUUGUGUAACCAUUACCCAGGAUAACACAGAGAACAUUUACUGUGCCUCAUAAGGUUCUUUUGUGCUCCUUCCUAAUCAAUAACCAUCACCUUCCUCUAGCUACAUGGUUAAUGCUGUUAGUUUUUUAGAAUUUCAUAUAUAUGCAUUUAAAUGGAUCAAAAGUAAUUUAAAGGCAUGGCUAUUUCUUGUU